rnacentral:pre_miRNA from 1 species
ACAUGAACCACCCGGGGAUUUUGUUAAAAUGCUGAUUCUGAUUCAAUAGGUCUGGGUGGGGCUUAAGAUUCUGUAUUUCUAACAAGCUCCCAGCUGAUGUCCAU